rnacentral:rRNA from 1 species
CUUUUGCCUUAAUUCAAAAGCGGUGGAAAAGAAACCAACAGGGAUUGCCUUAGUAGCGGCGAGUGAAGCGGCAAUAGCUCAAAUUUGAAAUCUGGCACUUUCAGUGUCCGAGUUGUAAUUUGAAGAAGGUAUCUUUGGGUCUAGCUCUUGUCUAUGUUUCUUGGAACAGAACGUCACAGAGGGUGAGAAUCCCGUGCGAUGAGAUGUCUAGAUCUAUGUAAAGUUCCUUCGAAGAGUCGAGUUGUUUGGGAAUGCAGCUCUAAGUGGGUGGUAAAUUCCAUCUAAAGCUAAAUAUUGGCGAGAGACCGAUAGCGAACAAGUACAGUGAUGGAAAGAUGAAAAGAACUUUGAAAAGAGAGUGAAAAAGUACGUGAAAUUGUUGAAAGGGAAGGGCUUGAGAUCAGACUUGGUAUUUUGUAUGUUACUCUCUCGGGGGUGGCCUCUACAGUUUACCGGGCCAGCAUCAGUUUGAGCGGUAGGAGAAUUGCGUAGGAAUGUGGCUCGGCCUCGGUCGAGUGUUAUAGCCUUCGUCGAUACUGCCAGCUUAGACUGAGGACUGCGGCUUCGGCCUAGGAUGUGCAAAAGCAGGC